GCGGCGUGCUUAACACAUGCAAGUCGAACGGGAUCCAUCAAGCUUGCUUGGUGGUGAGAGUGGCGAACGGGUGAGUAAUGCGUGACCGACCUGCCCCAUGCUCCGGAAUAGCUCCUGGAAACGGGUGGUAAUGCCGGAUGUUCCACAUGAUCGCAUGUGAUUGUGGGAAAGAUUCUAUCGGCGUGGGAUGGGGUCGCGUCCUAUCAGCUUGUUGGUGAGGUAACGGCUCACCAAGGCUUCGACGGGUAGCCGGCCUGAGAGGGCGACCGGCCACAUUGGGACUGAGAUACGGCCCAGACUCCUACGGGAGGCAGCAGUGGGGAAUAUUGCACA
rnacentral:rRNA from 1 species